GGGCUGGGGCUCAGGGGCAGAGUGCUUGCCUUGCAUGCGUGAGGCCCUGGGUUCAAUCCUCAGCACCACA
rnacentral:tRNA from 1 species